UUGCGGUGAUUUAGGGUUGAGGGUCCCACCUGUUCUCAUACCGAACACAGAAGUUAAGCCUCAAUUCGCCUAGGGUACUUGGCUGGACACGGCCCGGGAGAGUAAGGUUUUGCCGCAU
rnacentral:rRNA from 1 species